UUUUGAUUUGAAUGAGAUUCAUUGCUUGAAUUUUUAGUUUCGUUAUAUUAAACUGUUUAGAUUUAGUAAGGUUAAAUACUCUUUAAAAUUUAUAAGGUUACUUGAAAAAUUUCUGUGUAUCUAAUGUUUUUUUAAGUUAAACUCGGGUAUAUUGCAUGUUAUGUUCUUUUAAGUUUAACCAGAAUUUCAUCGACUCUCCUUUGUGUUCUAAUUUCUAUUAACGGUUUAACUCAGAAGUGUAUUUGUUCUAAUUUUGUUUGUUAAAUUACAACGACUGAAAUUUUGUUGGAAUUUAAAGGACUUAAAAUGCAAUUUAACCUUGAAACUUUGUUAAUAAGACACCAAUGUCUCAACAAAACCACUUAAGCAGGUUUGGAAAGUGAUAAAGAGCUUAACAAUGAUAAAAGUAAAAUUAUUUAAAAGUAAAGUUUAAUUGUUAAAAAAGUUUUAAACAAAUGUAUAUUAUUGCUAUUGUAAUGUAUAACGCUAUUUUUAUAUCAAAUUGUAAAUAGAAAUUUGUAUUUUUGGCAAAUUUAACAAGUUAUGAGAAUUGUAAAAGGACCUUUUUAAGAAAAAAUGUAAACAGCUAAUCAUUUAGACUUUUUUAUACGUUGAUUUGAACUUGUAAAUUGUAAUCCUAUUUAAAUAUUA
rnacentral:lncRNA from 1 species